UGUGCAAAUAACAAACACAGCUGGCUCCACAAUAAAUCCACCAGUCACUGUUCAGGCUUCUGUCGUAUCAGAUCUAGGGAGUCUUUUGCCACAAAGAUUGAAACAGUUAGCUCAAACAAUCACAGAUUCUCCUUCAAAGAAUCUUGGCCUGAAUAACUCGGUUUUUGGUAAAGUAAAGAGUGUUAUUUUAUCAUCAUAUUUAAAAGGUACACUUCACGCAAACCCUCCAACUCCUUCACCAGCUCCAUCUCCAGAGCUCAGUGAGUAUGCUCCAAUUUCCCCAUGUUCUACUUUUUCCCCAUCACCCACUCCAGCAUCUUCUCCAUCAGAUGACAUUGACUCACAUGCAACAAGCCCAAAAUAUGGGCCACACCAUUCUUUACCUCCUGUAAAUUCUGCAGCACCUUCUACAGUAAUAGCUGAUCCUCCUCACCCAUGUGGACACCAAGGUUCUCCAAUAUCUCCAAGCUCAUCACCAUCUCAUUCUAACCGAAGUCCUUACUUACGUUCAGUGGAUCCCCAAUCACAGCUGGCCCCANNNNNNCCUGCACCUCAAGUAUCUUAUGGUUCCAUGCCAAGGAAAGGUUCAGUAUCUCAAGUACUUGCUCCAUCUCCAUCUGCGCCAUCUCCGUUAUCUGUAGCAGUAAGUCCUUUCUACAAGGAGAUCUGGUGGUUGGGAUUUUCUGGACUCUUGAUCUUCCAUCUUCUUUGUUGCUCACAUUGACAAAAGUACAUUUCUUAAUCAUAUGGCUGGAGACAGUUUC
rnacentral:misc_RNA from 1 species